AUGUUGGAGUCCACAUUAAUAAUUCUAUUAUUAUUAAUAGAACCAAUAUCAGUCCAUUCUAAUUGGCUAAAACACUGAUAAUAAUAUUACAGUGUUUUAUCUUGAUAUAGAUUAUGAAGAAUAGCUAGAUUAUAAAGAAUAGAUAUCCUAUAAUAGAUAAAUAUUAAGUACACGCAGGCACAGACAAUCUAUUCUCUGAUUAAUGACUAGGCUAGAAAUUAAAAGUAAUUCUAUUUAUGUCAGAAUCCUAUGUCACAACAUUUUCAUAUCUUAUCUUAAAAUAGUAAUCACAUUUUCUCAGUUUGUUCCAGUGAGUUCAACGUGAUUACCAUUACCAACAUAUUAGGACAUGAUAGAAUACAUGAGAGAAUACAUGAGAGGAUUUUGAUCCAUAUAUGGUAAACUCAAAAAUGUAGAAAUAUAAAAAAAAAUUUAAACAAAGAAAAUUUGCAAAUAUAAGACAAAAUAAUUUUCUCCUCAUCCAAAGAUGUUUGGUUUUUUAUUCCCAUGCAAUGCACCAACUCAAAAU
rnacentral:lncRNA from 1 species